rnacentral:rRNA from 1 species
UACGUAGGGCGCAAGCGUUAUCCGGAAUUAUUGGGCGUAAAGAGCUCGUAGGCGGUUUGUCGCGUCUGCCGUGAAAGUCCGGGGCUCAACUCCGGAUCUGCGGUGGGUACGGGCAGACUAGAGUGAUGUAGGGGAGACUGGAAUUCCGGGUGUAGCGGUGAAAUGCGCAGAUAUCAGGAGGAACACCAGUGGCGAAGGCGCCACUCUGGGCCGUAACUGACGCUGAGGAGCGAAAGCGUGGGUAGCAAACAGG